GAUGGUGGAGAGCAACAAAACAUUAGACUGGUGGGGAGCAACAACCGACCCAUUAUGACUGGUGGGGAGCAACAUUAUGGCUGGUGGGGAGCAACAGACCCAUUAUGACUGGUGAGGAGCAAAAGACCCAUUAUGACUGGUGGGGACGAACAUUAUGACUGGUGGGGGGCAACAUUAUGAUGGUGGGAGAACUUAUGACUGGUGGGGAGCACCCUACCUUUAUGACUGGUGGGGAGCAACAGACCCAUUAUGACAGGUGGGGAGCAACAGACCCAUUAUGACUGGUGGGGAGCAACAAAACCAUAUGACUGGUGGGGAGCAACGACCCAUUAUGACUGGUGGGGAGCAACAGACCCAUUAUUACUGGAGGGGAGCAACAUUGUGACUGGUGGAGAGCAACAAUAUGGUUGGCUGGGACAACAUUAUGAUGGUGGGGAGCACACCAUGAUGACUGGUGGGGAGCACAACCUUAUGACUGGGGGGGGGAGCAACAGACCCAUUUUGACUGGUGGGAGCACCGACCAGGGAAGACUGGUGGGGAGCAAC
rnacentral:lncRNA from 1 species